UACACAAGGAUACCAAAUUAGGGGGCUACCUAUUUAACAGCUGAAAGAUCAAAAUUAAUAAAAUGUUUGAGAAAGUGUAAGUGAUUUGUCUGAAAAAAAAAGUAAUGAACUCAAUUGCUCAAUGGACGAAAUUUUGAUAAUCCGAAACCAAAAACUAUCUUCAAACCAAAUUCUCAGUAGCCAAGCAGUGAUUCAAUUUGACUUGGGAAAUGUCUUCCAAAAGAGUUUAGCCUAAUUAGUGUCUGCCUCUACAACGUGGAUUUUAAUGAAUAAACUAAACCCAUUAAAUAAUUAACCAUGAUAGUCUUAAAAGGAACACACUAGGCAUCAAAACAACUUUAACUUAAUAAAGCAGUUUUUGUGUGUAUCUGCA